CUUGACUGAGCCUCUUUUCCUUUUUUACAGUAGUGAUCACAAAAUAUUAAAUUUGUAUAUGCUUAAUAAAUGAAUGUUUGGGUGACUUUGUGUGCGUGUAAGCACUCGCACAUGCGUGCAUAUGAAUGCACAUUUUGACUCAUUACAAGGACAACACUCCACUAAUAAUUACCAGAAUCAUAACGAUAACAGAGCAUAACAGAAAACUGAAUGAAAACGUCACACAGAACAA